GCCUACGGGGGGCAGCAGUAGGGAAUCUUCCACAAUGGGCGAAAGCCUGAUGGAGCAACGCCGCGUGGGUGAAGAAGGUCUUCGGAUCGUAAAACCCUGUUGUUAGAGAAGAAAGUGCGUGAGAGUAACUGUUCACGUUUCGACGGUAUCUAACCAGAAAGCCACGGCUAACUACGUGCCAGCAGCCGCGGUAAUACGUAGGUGGCAAGCGUUAUCCGGAUUUAUUGGGCGUAAAGCGAGUGCAGGCGGUUCAAUAAGUCUGAUGUGAAAGCCUUCGGCUCAA
rnacentral:rRNA from 1 species